UACGUAGGGCGCAAGCGUUGUCCGGAGUUAUUGGGCGUAAAGAGCUCGUAGGUGGCGUGUCGCGUCUGCCGUGAAAGCCCAUGGCUUAACUGUGGGUCUGCGGUGGAUACGGGCAGGCUGGAGGCUGGUAGGGGCAAGCGGAAUUCCUGGUGUAGCGGUGAAAUGCGCAGAUAUCAGGAGGAACACCGGUGGCGAAGGCGGCGACCUGGGUCGAUACUGACGCUGAUGCGCGAAAGCGUGGGGAGCAAACAGG
rnacentral:rRNA from 1 species